CUUCAGGCAGCACAAUACGUUUUCCUUUCCUGAGGUUUUCUUAUGUGUGUGUGCAUGUCUGUAGUUAAAUGGAAGACGGAAUUAUCAAAAGGAGUAAAAAAGGGAACUAAAGGAGGAGUGGAGAGUGGUUCUGUCUUGAAAUUGAACUGAGAAAGAGUAACAAAAGAAAUGGUCUGCUGUUUGAAGAGGAAGCUGUGAAUAAGAAUAGCACAAGAAGAUAAACAGCUACUUCAAAACAAAUUUUUCCAGCUCUCUUCCAAAUACAAAACGUUAUUGCGAUGUGCUGUGCUGCAAUUGAAGGCAUCUUGGUUGUGACAGGAAAAAAAAAAAAAAAAAGGAGCUACUGAAUUGCUUUGUAUUUAAGCAGACGCUCUGGAAGUCUGAGAGCAUGUGUUUUAUGUGCAACUUCUGACAACCUAGGGAAAAGAGAAGUGAGACAACGAUAUGAUCUGUGGCUUCUCUGGAUUCCCUGCCUCACCAUCCCUAGAGUCAUGGGUUUUAAUAACCUGGGCUGGAACAACAGAAGUGUACCAGGAAGGAUCCAUCCAUCCCCUCUCAUGCACGAUGCCAGCCCUCAGGAGCAAAAAGAUUUAUUUCUUCACACCUGAUGUGUGUUUAUUCCAAUUCGACCUCACUGAGGUGAGUUGUCUCUGAGUUUCUGCUGGGGUAAUAAAAAAAAAGAAAAAGAGAGAAAAAAGUUUUUACAAAGAAAACACAGAUGCUACGGAUUCUUGUUUUGCUUGAAAAGAAGUUCAAACUUUCUACAUCUACUUCUGUAGGAGAAAGUAGGCCAGAAAUGCCAUUUCCUAUUUGGUCACCAACACCAUUUCUUUCCUAGGAGCCUAACCCAUUUCUAUUUUUCAGGCACAGGGCCUGCAAUAGGUAAAAUACCUUUAGAAUGUUGACCUGUUUGUGUUCAGUUUUGCAAUAUGUACUCAGAAUAUGUAUGCCCACGUGCUUUUAUCCAGAAGUUGAUGUGCAGCCUAUGGGCUGAGCAGAAAUACUGCAAUCAGCAGUGACUUACGAUAAGAAGUAAAGGAGACUAAUCCGUCCAGUUUCAAUGCCUUGGAGAAUCUGAUUGUUGUCUGACCCCAUAUUGUAACAGUCCAUAAAGGUGCUGCUAGUGGAAUGUGUCUAUAUCUCUCUUUUAAACUGAAAAAAAAAAAAAAAAAUGGCUAUCCUUAGCAAAGACAGAGCUGAAGGAAAGGAAGCAGGCCAUGAAGAGAUUGGCUAUGAAAAACUGAUGGACUAUGAACUUUCUUGCUUAAUUACUGUAACUUGUGAAGUUAAUUCCCUAAGCCUAAGCAAAGCAUCUUUGCUGUCUGAGGUGUCUCUGCAUCCGCAGUGGAUUACCCAAGUGUUUUACUUACACAGGCAGAAAUCAUGCAACGCCAGCUGGAAUACAACUCACUGCUGAACUGGGAAGUGGCUCUGAAAUGACCAGGGAGUUUAGGACAGGAAAUGAACGAUGUUAUUAUGCCUAAUUUCAACUUCACAGCAAUUUUGGGAGGCAGAAUGUCAAUAUCUAGUCCACAGCUGGGCCCUUGGGCUGUCAAGCCUGAAGCUGAAAGCACCCUGAGUCCUGCCAUCUGUUAUGGCCCGGCAGCAGAACUCAGUGCCACGGUGUCUGAGCAUCUAAUGACUACAAGGUGUAAGGAUCUCUGUUGUACUUCUCAUCCAGAACCCAGUAGUUCUUCCUUUAACACUAUGCUGAGGCAUUGCUUCAUUACAGAGGGUAGAGUGCCAUCUACUGAAUCAGGUUGAUGUGUUUCUGUAACUCCCACAGGAAUGUGAAAUGAUUUUGUACCUUUAUUGAUAUAUCCUCGUGCUCUCUGCUGACUGCUCCACUCCCUCAGCUCGGUCCAAGUCCUGCCACGUGUUCUGGUUGGAGCUGAACACUGACAAUAAGUGAUGGGCAGUAACAGCAUCAGCAGUACGUUACAGUCAUGUGAGCUAUUUUGAAAACCCAUUAUUCCAACCACUUUCCUGUAUGAUUUUGUGUCAUUCUCAAUUACUAUUCAACAGAUUUAAUAGAAAACACCUUUAUCCAAAUCACAUAUUUUUCAGUUUUUAGGAUCUCUCACUGUUGUAUAUAUGCUUUUAACCAUCUACAAACAGCUCAGAGUUUACUGCAAGAUCCCACUUACCUGAACGCUUCCCAGCUGCACUUGUAAAGAAACACAGGGCACAGCUGAUCCAUGAGGGGAAGGGAAUACAGGAUCCACCCAACAGCCCAGAAUCCUGCAGUAAAUGGAGAUUGAUUCUUGACUCAAACGAGCACUGAGCUAAUGAAUUAAAUAGUGCAGUCCUGUGUGUUUUCGAGGCUGUAUACACCUGCUAUCUAAAGGGGAAAAUGAACGAGAUUUGCUUUUUUAAUGUAACCUGGAAGGUUUGCUAUCCCAUGGGUCCUAGGUUUGACAGUUGUAAAUGUUUUAGCGUUAUUUCACUCCUUCCCUUCAGGCAAUAAAUCUGUUCCUGCUCUUUGGAACAGAAAAAAAAUCAAGGGAUUGCUCUUGCUGUCAUCAUGAGGCUCAGACUCCUGCAGGUUUGUAGGCUGUCAUUUGGAGGCUGCUGAACUAUCUUGCUAAAGGCAGAGACAAGGAAGUGUGACUCUGAACCUAACCAAAACUCAGGGGCUAGGCUGGGUUUGGCCUGUGGGUGCUCCCUGGUGUGAUCCCUUCAGAAGCGAUUCAGUUCCAACAACGAUACUUGAAAAGCGAUCAAAUCAAAGCAAUGGCUUGUGCUUACAAGACUUGUGUAUUUUCCAUGUCAGCCAGCUUUCCAGGGCUCAAAACAGCAGUGAAUAAUUUUUUAACUGAGGCAAAACUUGAGCUGCAAUAAGCUCCUGCGAUCAAAAUGUAGCACCAGGUCUAAGAUACCUGCCCAGAAACAAAGAUAUUUCUGUCUUUGAACCUACAAAAGUAGUUCCUCUGUCUGUUAGUAAGGUUUUUGCCACCCAAUUGAUGAUUCAGUUCUAUGCGUGAGAACAGUAUAAAUCUGAUCAGUUAAAAUUGCCCUAAGCCUUGGAUUUGACAAAUGGUCGUAACAGUGGGGCUGCUAUUUAUAAAGUAAAAAUUUGUUAGGGUUUUGUUUAAGUAUUCUAGUGAUCUUUGUGUAGAAAGUCUGAAGAAUUAAGUGACGUAUGUUUAUUUUAUGAUAAAGUAUAAUCUGUAGGAGUUCCUCCUACCAAAAUACACAGAUGCCUUGUUUUUAAUACAAAUACUGACCUGCCUGACCUGUUCUCACUGGCUUUAGUUUUCCACCUUUGUAUGCAUCAGCCAAAGCCCAAAGGAUGACAGGUUGAGCAUCAUCUUUGGAUCAGCCACACAGGAGGGUCCGGUGGGAGUGCUCCAGAAUCACAAAACCUCACUGAAAUUUCACUGAGCAUCUGCCCGAACUGUCAGACUGAAUCUGUCAGAUAUGAGAGCAUCAGGAACAGGCUGCAAGAUUAACUGACUCCUCAAGGUUUAUUCUAGCUUUUUUUCUACGAUUCUAAAACCUGGACAGCCUUAAUGUUGCACAGUUGUGGUCUGCAGUUCCAAUUCCUGUUUCAAAGAAAUGGCUUUCAAGUAGGCGGGCGCUGUGUGGCACAUAGCCUUUCCCAGCCUGGAAGAGGUGUGCUGCGUGUAAUUGUGUAUUUAUGCGAUGCUGUGAGAGUGUGCUCACCCUCACCUUGGAGCUGGAGGUGCUGCUCACUGCACCCGGAGGUGAAGAACACAACUUCAUCCUUGCGGUGAGGAUAUGUGCCAUCAACCCUUUCUCUCUCUGAGAGCUGAAACUCCCUGUUGAUCUCCAAAUAACAUUUUUUUUCCUACUCGGGCUCUGUCAAUGCAUGCUAACCUUAGUGUAAACAGUUUUUCAUAGAAAAAUUCCCUCAGGACAACUUCCAGCUUGAUUUUUGAGGAGUUGCUUAGCCGUAAUCAUGCAGAAUUCUCUAGGUUUCAAGCGGCGUGCCUCCUGCUGAGGUGUUCUGCCUGCUAAUGAUAGGAACUCAAGCUGUUCAUUUUGUCUAGGCAAGGGCACUUGAAGGACAGCUCUCUGCUUUCGCCAUCCCUCUGUAUCUUCUAUGAGACAAACUGCAGAACUUUGGCAGAGAAAGUGUUGCAGUCCCUUCCUUAGUAAGCCUGCCUCUGAGAAUUGAUGGGUGAUACUGCCGAGAAUGAGCCACUUGUUUCUGACUUUUCUAAGAGGUUGCUAUAGGAAGAUUUCCAUCUUCUUCUGAAAAUGGUGAAAAGAAGAGUAAGUGAUGCCCAAAGUGAAAGCUCUGUCCUCAGAAUGAAGAUUUACUACAGAAACACCAGGCAGAUACUUAAGAGUGGAUUUGGAGUUUGCAGUGAAAAUAACAGUUCACUUAGUUCCAGGCAAUGCUCUCUCCUCCAAAUUAUUGCUUCUUUAUAUAGGAAUUAGGUUUAUUUUAGCAGGCUUCAACAGCAGAACUGUUGCAAACAUAGAAAAGGUUGUUAGAGUCUUUGCUGUACCACUUGGAAGCAUUGCACUACACUUCUGCCUUCUCCAAAGCAGACUGCACCCUGGUGAAGCCCAGCUCCAAAUGAUUCUAUGAUUCUAAGUGGCACUUGGGUCAUCCACGCCUUCAUCUGAAGGGGAAAGUACCUGCAUCUCCACCUGCUGCUUUGUGAGUCAGGUACACGUGCCUCCAUCUCCCCGUGCCUUCCAAGCACCAUCUGUAAGUCUUUUCAAAGAAAAUUCAAAGAAGGUAUGGACAGUUUGCCCCACCAUGUCUUCCUUACACAUCACAACAAUGCAUUAUGUCGUUCUUCUAGACAAGUGCUCAGUCUGAGAUGCCUGACAGUGGGCAUUUCAAUAGUGGGCUCUAUUUAUACACAAUGUAUCUGGAACAACAAAGGGUAAUGAAUCACUUUACUGGCUGUAUGCAUGCAAUUAAUAUAGCAUUAGUAAUACAGGGGAUGGUAGCCCGUGUUAACAUUGCCUGCCAGCUAAAUUCCUAUAAAUAAUUGUCUGCUCGAAUUUAACUCAUUUAUUUGUCAGUGCUCAGAAUACAAAAUAAUUUGUCCUGCAACAGUGGCUCUGUCUCCUUGUUAAGCUGGCACGUUGUUUCCUUUGGUAGCAAAUGAAUGAAACUUGGGGCUGUGUUAGCGGCUUCAAAACUAUUGGCUGAGCCAAGCCCUCUAAUAUCUGCUUGUGGCAGAGUUGUACACAGCGAAACAAAGUCAGCACAAGGAAUAGAAGACUGGAGAAACCGGAGUGGUGGGGAACACAAUAAGGAAAAUGAGAAGAUUGCCUCUGGCAGCUUCAGGCCAAGCUGCCGGGAUCCCAAGGCUUCUGCAGCAUGGGAUGUGGUGACUGCUGGCUCUCCCCACCUGGAGACAGUUGAUAUUGAAGAGCUGUAGUCAAUGACAGAUGAUUUCAGCAUUCAUUGCAGGUGUGACUGCACCUAUAUAUUCCCUGUAGAGCUCCGCAUUCACCUGAUGCUGAUAAAUCAUUCUUUCUAGGUAUAAAAUGUGGGGUUCAGAGGAGAAAAUGUAUAGCAGGACCCAGCAAGGUGAGUGCAUUUGGGUAUUAAACAUGGCUGAGAGAGAUUUCAAAUUCCAAUCAUGGCUUUUCCCAAAGUAUUUGUUCUGCCCUAUCAGCUAAUACAGCAACGGUGCAUAUAUUAACAUCCUGGAAUUGAAAUAGAGAUCAAGGGCAUAGGGUAUAAAUUGGUUUUACAGCAUAACGUUAAAUAAUCAAACCAUACUGGAGCAGCCUCUGUGACAAAAUGACUUACAUUUUUGGUGCCGCUUUUUAAAUGUGAUUAUGCAUUUUAAUUGUUUAACUCCAGUCUGUGGAGUAGUUUCAAAGAUGUUUUAAAAUAACUUACAGCAUGAAAAGCCGCCUGAUCUUUAAAUACACCUCAGGUUCAAUAAAUUUGUUUUUAAUUUCGUGUGAUGUGUGAAAUAGUAAUUUUGUGCAGUGCUUUCAGGGGAGUGGAGAGGGAUUUCAUAAAACAGGCCGGGACAAGGAGGGUACAACUGCAUAAAGGCAGUAGGAAUUUCCAUGCUGCUUCUCGUUGUGUCUCGCUGUAAGAACACAGUGUUUGGAAGAGUGGUGCACUCCUGCUGUUUUAAGCCUCAGAAUGAACAGCACUAUGGUGUAAUGGGGCUUCACACAGAGAUAUGAAGGUGGCAGGUUUGUCCUGCUCCGCUCCUUCAGCCAUCCAUCUCACCGUCAUCUCCCCAAAGCAGAACUCUGUCCCUGGCUUGAGGGGGUCCAGCUGAAUGUAGGGCCCUUGAUGAGCCUUUGAAUUUGCUUGAGCACUCUCCAGAUCCUCUCCUAUGAAUAUGAGGCAAGAAUGGGUUAAUUCCAGACACAUUUCACAAGCUCAAUAACAUGUGAAAACUGAGAUGGAAAUCUGCACUUUAUUUGUUUUCGGUCCUGAUUAUUUAGAGAGCAGAAAAUCAUAAUUUACAGUGCCAAUUUUCGGUAUUUUUAACCAGAUCAUGGCUUAAAAUACUGGAAAGAUUUAAGAGAAAUAACAAGACACCAUCUGCCUGUUUUUUU
rnacentral:lncRNA from 1 species